rnacentral:rRNA from 1 species
UGGGGAAUAUUGCACAAUGGGCGCAAGCCUGAUGCAGCCAUGCCGCAUGUAUGAAGAAGGCCUUCGGGUUGUAAAGUACUUUCAGCGAGGAGGAAGGCGUUGUGGUUAAUAACCGCAGCGAUUGACGUUACUCGCAGAAGAAGCACCGGCUAACUCCGUGCCAGCAGCCGCGGUAAUACGGAGGGUGCAAGCGUUAAUCGGAAUUACUGGGUGUAAAGCGCACGCAGGCGGUCUGUCAAGUCGGAUGUGAAAUCCCCGGGCUCAACCUGGGAACUGCAUCCGAAACUGGCAGGCUAGAGUCUUGUAGAGGGGGGUAGAAUUCCAGGUGUAGCGGUGAAAUGCGUAGAGAUCUGGAGGAAUACCGGUGGCGAAGGCGGCCCCCUGGACAAAGACUGACGCUCAGGUGCGAAAGCGUGGGGAGCAAACA